GACGAACGCUGGCGGCGUGCUUAACACAUGCAAGUCGAACGGAAAGGCCCUGCUUUUGUGGGGUGCUCGAGUGGCGAACGGGUGAGUAACACGUGAGUAACCUGCCCUUGACUUUGGGAUAACUUCAGGAAACUGGGGCUAAUACCGGAUAGGAGCUCCUGCUGCAUGGUGGGGGUUGGAAAGUUUCGGCGGUUGGGGAUGGACUCGCGGCUUAUCAGCUUGUUGGUGGGGUAGUGGCUUACCAAGGCUUUGACGGGUAGCCGGCCUGAGAGGGUGACCGGCCACAUUGGGACUGAGAUACGGCCCAGACUCCUACGGGAGGCAGCAGUGGGGAAUAUUGCACAAUGGGCGGAAGCCCGAUGCAGCAACGCCGCGUGCGGGAUGACGGCCUUCGGGUUGUAAACCGCUUUCGCCUGUGACGAAGCGUGAGUGACGGUAAUGGGUAAAGAAGCACCGGCUAACUACGUGCCAGCAGCCGCGGUGAUACGUAGGGUGCGAGCGUUGUCCGGAUUUAUUGGGCGUAAAGGGCUCGUAGGUGGUUGAUCGCGUCGGAAGUGUAAUCUUGGGGCUUAACCCUGAGCGUGCUUUCGAUACGGGUUGACUUGAGGAAGGUAGGGGAGAAUGGAAUUCCUGGUGGAGCGGUGGAAUGCGCAGAUAUCAGGAGGAACACCAGUGGCGAAGGCGGUUCUCUGGGCCUUUCCUGACGCUGAGGAGCGAAAGCGUGGGGAGCGAACAGGCUUAGAUACCCUGGUAGUCCACGCUGUAAACGGUGGGUACUAGGUGUGGGGUCCAUUCCACGGGUUCCGUGCCGUAGCUAGCGCUUUAAGUACCCCGCCUGGGGAGUACGGCCGCAAGGCUAAAACUCAAAGGAAUUGACGGGGCCCCGCACAAGCGGCGGAGCAUGCGGAUUAAUUCGAUGCAACGCGUAGAACCUUACCUGGGUUUGACAUGGAUCGGGAGUGCUCAGAGAUGGGUGUGCCUCUUUUGGGGUCGGUUCACAGGUGGUGCAUGGCUGUCGUCAGCUCGUGUCGUGAGAUGUUGGGUUAAGUCCCGCAACGAGCGCAACCCUUGUUCACUGUUGCCAGCACGUUAUGGUGGGGACUCAGUGGAGACCGCCGGGGUCAACUCGGAGGAAGGUGGGGAUGACGUCAAGUCAUCAUGCCCCUUAUGUCCAGGGCUUCACGCAUGCUACAAUGGCUGGUACAGAGAGUGGCGAGCCUGUGAGGGUGAGCGAAUCUCGGAAAGCCGGUCUCAGUUCGGAUUGGGGUCUGCAACUCGACCUCAUGAAGUCGGAGUCGCUAGUAAUCGCAGAUCAGCAACGCUGCGGUGAAUAAGUUCCCGGGGCU
rnacentral:rRNA from 1 species